ACACAUGCAAGUCGAGGGGUAGAAUUAGCUUGCUAAUUUGAGACCGGCGCACGGGUGCGUAACGCGUAUGCAAUCUGCCUUGUACUGAGGGAUAGCCCAGAGAAAUUUGGAUUAAUACCUCAUAGCAUUAUGAAAUCGCAUGGUUUUAUAAUUAAAGUUCCAACGGUACAAGAUGAGCAUGCGUCCCAUUAGUUAGUUGGUAAGGUAACGGCUUACCAAGACGAUGAUGGGUAGGGGUCCUGAGAGGGAGAUCCCCCACACUGGUACUGAGACACGGACCAGACUCCUACGGGAGGCAGCAGUGAGGAAUAUUGGUCAAUGGGCGCAAGCCUGAACCAGCCAUGCCGCGUGCAGGAUGACGGUCCUAUGGAUUGUAAACUGCUUUUAUACGGGAAGAAACACUCCUACGUGUAGGUACUUGACGGUACCGUAAGAAUAAGGAUCGGCUAACUCCGUGCCAGCAGCCGCGGUAAUACGGAGGAUCCAAGCGUUAUCCGGAAUCAUUGGGUUUAAAGGGUCCGUAGGCGGCCUUAUAAGUCAGUGGUGAAAGCCCAUCGCUUAACGAUGGAACGGCCAUUGAUACUGUAGGGCUUGAAUUUUUUGUGAAGUAACUACAAUAUGUAGU
rnacentral:rRNA from 1 species